rnacentral:rRNA from 1 species
GUACACGCUGUGACUAGCAUAUCAAUAAGCGGAGGAAAAGAAACUAACAAGGAUUCCCUCAGUAACGGCGAGUGAAGCGGGAAGAGCUCAAAUUUGAAAUCUUGAAAGGUCACCUUUCACGAAUUGUAGUUUAAAGAAGUGUUUUCUGUUACGAUCGUAAUAUAAGUUCUUUGGAAUAGGACAUCACAGAGGGUGAGAAUCCCGUCUAUGAUUGCGAUUUGUAGCUUUGUGAUACACUUUCAAAGAGUCGGAUUGUUUGGGAAUGCAGUCCAAAAUGGGUGGUAAACUUCAUCUAAAGCUAAAUAUUGGCGAGAGACCGAUAGCGAACAAGUACCGUGAGGGAAAGAUGAAAAGAACUUUGAAAAGAGAGUUAAACAGUACGUGAAAUUGUCAAAAGGGAAGCGUUUGACACCUGUGUUGUUUUCUCGAAAAUCAAUUAAAAAUGGCUCGAUUUUGUAUUGCUUGAGACCUUAAAAGCUCACUGUACAUUUUUCGCGUCUUUUUUAAUACACUUUUCGUUUAACAAGUCAACAUCAGUUUCUUUUGUUGUAAAAGGGUCAUUGGAAGGUGGCUUUCUUUUCGGAGAAAGUGUUUAUAGCCUUUGGCCUCUGCAAUCGAAGAGACUGAGGUCUGCAGCGUAGACUCUUCGGGGUUAGAUACAUUUGUGCUAAGUUAUAGCUUUUUAUAGACAACUUGUUGACUAUAAUUAGUCCUUGUAGCUUACUCGCUUAUGCUAUUUUACCUACGCUUAGGAUGUUGAGUAGCGACAUACGCAC